UUUUUUUGUAAUGUAUCACUGUUGGGACCAGACAUGAUUGGUAUCCAAACAGGUUUGGGAGCUGAUCCUUACAUAAUCCAAGGUCAGACUUCCAUCCAAACAGGACAUUCUGUUGAUUUCAUAUCAUGGGUUUUGUGCUACCAUGCCAUCCAAACAGUUACCCUGUUACAGCCAACCCUCAUGCAAUUCCAUGACAAGACCUGACAUACCACAAUCAUGUGGUUUUUUGAAUCCCAUCCCACCUAAUCCUUUUCUAAUACCAUGCGCCAAACACCACCCUAAGGUGUCGUUUGGUUGCAUGGAAGUUUUUACUUAACUCGAGUUCCAUGGAACUCGAGCAUCAUUCAGAUGUCCUAAGUUCCAUGGAACUGAGGUCCCACAUAACUCAAGCUCCUAUUCAUAUAAGAAAGAAAGAAAAAAAACCAGUGUUUUUUUCAAGCUUAAGCAGACAACUAACCAAUACCUAAUGUUUUAAUGUCACAAUAACCAAAGUUAUUACCGCCUGUUAUGUAAAGAUAUUCUUGGUUUGGCCAAUCUAUGGCUUUGCUCGCUAACAAACACAUGCUUGCAGGUGACUUGGCUCAUUUUAACUUCUAAGUUUUUUUUUUUUUUAAAAUUAUUAUAGUAAUUCAGGUUGGAGAGGAGGAACUAUGCUUCGUCCUUUUUUCAAAGGUUUCACAAGUUUUAGCUGGCACUUUCCAUGCAUGGAUUAUGGCUAGUCGAAAGAUACUCUUCCUAUAAAAAAACAGAGAUUAGGGAACCUUGAAGAAAUGGGGUCUUUAACUCCAUUUUAAAUCAUUAGAAUCAUCAAGCUCUAUUCAAAUGUCAAGAAACAGGAUAAGAUCUAUGAGACAGUAAGCUCAGUGGCUCUGCUAGAUCUUCCUCUUGAAGUGUCUUCUACUUGGACCAGUAAUUCAGUUCAAUCUUCCGAGCAUAUCCUGGUGGUUGCAACUUCUGACCCUAUUACAAAUGUCUGAUGUCCGAUCAAUACUGUUGAAAAUGUGUUCCAAUUUGAGGAAAAGGCAGAUGAUAUUACAUGAAUACCUAAUGGAUCUAUGCUAUGCAUGGUUUUAUGACUUGGACGAGUCCCAUGCAGCUCAUCCCAUCCGAGUCAACUCAGAUUUGGUACUACCUGAUCUGGUUGGAUACCCCAAGUCACCCCUGAGUCACAACUUGACUCGAGACAACAAGUUGAUCUGAGUCACUGGAAUUGUUUCGGAUAGUUUCUUGGCACUAUUGGAGGUUAAUUGGCUUAUCCCUCGUCAUUUUGUUGAAUUGUUAGAAAUGUGGCAGUUUGCCAAGAAAGGUAGAAAGAAAAGGAAGAUAUGGAAUCUUGCUCUCUUGCCCAUCAUUUGGUCAAUCUGGUUGGAAUGUAACAGGUCUUUCUGUGACAGGGCUUUAAGUCCAAAUCCUGUGUUCUAUAAUGCUGAAGUGGUUGGUUGUAGAGUGAGCUAGGGUUGAGAACGAGCAUGUUGGGUACACAAUUAACGCUUUUCAGGGUAGCUGGUGGGAUUCCUUUCAUCUCUAUUAGCUGGAUGAUCUCUCAUUAUCAUCUUUUUGCUUUUCUUUUAAUGAAAAUCCCCGUUACCCUCCAAAAGAAAAAGAAAAAGAGAGAUAUCAUCAACAUCAAAGAUGAUAACUGAAAGAGCUCCAAGGCCUUUUGGUUUUGCAAAUUGGUGCUGAUUAAUCCUCAUACCCAAAGAAGAGGUGACGCGUGGACUUGCUCCCAUGCAAUUGAGGGUUAGGAUCUUCCAAAUGGGAGAUUCUUGCUGCAACCACCAUCCAUGGUGGGGCCCAUCAGAUCAACAAUCUGGAUUUUGAACAAGUGCCCCCCAGUUGUAACGACUUGGCAUAAUGGACACCAUUCGUGUUUGUUAUUGGGAAGAUGAUUCCUCUUAUUGUGGCGUUGCCCAUAAAAACUGCAUACUCUUUAAAUGUUUCUGAAAAAAGAUGCUCUCUGUUUCCUUGAUGGUUUAAAGAUUUCUUUGCUGCUUUUUGUAAAAGAAAGUAAGGAUUCAAGAUAUCUUAGAAGUUAUUACUGCCUCUUUGCUCUCUCCCCUUUUCAUGCAUUUUUAGAUUGUUUGAUAAUUUGUAGUGAUCAUUCCUUUGUUUCAUUUAAGCAAAAUUCAUUCCAUCAAACCCACACCAUUUUUAUUUUUAUUUUUAUUUUUUCUGGGGAUGACUGUUCAACACAAAUGUCAAUAUUGCCUGUUUGGAUGACUUAACAGUUAGGACAUGUUUGGAUGUGCAGUACAAGACUGAAUUGCUACUAUUGCCUAAUGAGAAAUGCUGUUAUGCAGCUUGUGCCAUUGAUGUCCUAUGUGGCUCCCUCAGGGUACAUGUGACAAUCAUGUAUGGUGAUCAAGGCUGUUGAUCUGGUGGGCCAGUGCAUGGAUGAUCAGCAUAGGCUUCAAAGGUGCUCGGACAACUUUUCCCAUCUAAUUUUGACAUUCAAUAGUUGAAUGUGGAUUGCUGCCUUUUAACCAACUGAUUGGAUGGCUACCAGUCUCACCCCCUUGAUUUUUGGCACAUGGCCUAUCCAUAUGGUGGCCCAUCAGAUUAAUAACUUGAUCCACACUGCAUGUGUUCCAUGAUGAUUUUUAGUUACACAACCUGUUUUGGUGGUGGGUCUUGUCUAACCAUCCGAGGCAGCCUGGGGUUUCAAAACACUAAAAUUUUCAAAAUUUUAAGCAGCAGUGAAUUGUUUACAGAACCAUCUGACAGAUAAAUAGGCCCAUCAUUUGUGUUAUUCUUGUACUAAUUUAUUAACCAAAUGUGGGAAGGAUAGGGGUGUUUUUAUCGGUCAGAGAGUGUGUGAUGCAGGACAAUUAACCACUUGCUCUAAAAGCUCAAAGCUCGAACUGAUAGAGCAUGACAAAUCAAUCCCUUUAUCUCAUAGCCCAGGCCCCACAUCCCAUGUGUUAGGACCUCGACCGAACCCCCUCAUGGGCCCUACUUCAAAUGGGUUCCGCUUCACACGAGCCACCCGCCUCACAUGGGCCGCCCACCCCGAGUGUGCCCCUGCAUCCCACAAGCCACCCCACUUGGGCCCAGUGUGAAAAUGCCCUUGCAUUAGUGUGUAAACAGCAGCUCCCUUAGUUUGCAUGCUUCCUUCUUCUCCCUAUUAGUAUGCAUGUUUUCUCCUCCUCCCUUGGUAUGCUUGUUUUCUUCUUCUUAAUCGGUAGAUAUAGUCCAGCUGUCUUUUGAUUGGAUAGCAAGUGGAAAUAUCAUAUUCCUCUCACCUAGUUUCUUGUGACAAGAAUCCAAAAUAUAAAAAUGUGUAAUAAUUGCUUUGUGGAAUCCAUAAUCCAUCUUUUUCUUUGCCAUCCAAAUAACAGAAAUUGUUACAUCAAAGGAAAACCCUUCUCCUUUUUCAUUGUUUGGCAUGGAAUCCUUGGUAUCCAAACAUGACAUAUGCCUCUUCCUCCUUAAUUUUUUUUGGCAGAUGAAAUUCUUUUGUGCAUUUGGAAAUACUCAAACAUAAUUUCUGAUGGAAACUGUUCGAGGCUGUGUUUGGAAAAUCAUUGAAAACAGGUUCCACAUUGAGCCAGCUAUCUGUUUCCCAUUAAACUGGUUAAAAAUAACAAUUCUGCUUGCUUCAUCUUGGAGCUGAAAAAAAAAAAGCCUAUCGGUUUUAUGCGGUGUUUCUGCAGAGAGAAAUCAUGCCUGACUGCCAUUUCAAGAAGCCCAAAUGCAACUUUAAUUGAAUCUCCCACUCCAGCUUUUCUUGCAGAAUAUUGUAGGAACGGGAGGCCUACCUGAUGAUUGGAUUGGCCUGCUUUUUGGGGUGUCCCAUCUUCAUGGUGAGGUGAUCAUGCUGGAGACUGGGUUGGCACAUAUACAGCUAGUUGUACGAAAUUCUCCUUGACGACAGUUGAAGGGAUUCGAGGAGUUGCAUGCGAAUAUCUACAGUUUGCUUGGGUUUGUUAGUUUGUACAACAUUUGGUGCCCAUGGUUCAUUUAUCUAAUAAUCCAAGCUGCUUAAUGUGAUGGGCCUCCAUGUCCCAUGCACCAAAAAUCUCCCGGAUCUGAGGAUCCCUGGUUAUUUGAUCCAUUUCCUGUAGGUAGAUUGCAGGCUAAUGCUGUAUUUGCUUUCUUAACAGGUUAUUUGUUGGGGGAAUUUUGGUUGACAAACCGUACUCAGGAUUUCAUGUCAAUGGCUUGGAUUGUAGAACCAUUCGCACCACGUGAACAAAUUGAAAACCUAGGCAAGCUGACGAUCCUUUCUGGUCAAGCAUUGCUACCCAUAGCACUCGAUGAGGUUACGAGCUGAGUCGUUGGGAAACUCUGUCAUAUGUCUAAAUCAGCUGACUUGAUGCUGCUUGUAGAGAUUUGAUCCGAGUCACUUUGUUUAAUGGAAAGUGGGCUGGCCCACUAUCUUUUCAACUGCAACAUCUUUGCUUAUUUCAAGAAUAUAUAUUUUCACUUUGAGAAGGCUGUACAAGUGCACUAGAACUCUACAAACUUCAUUGAUUCCCAGCUUCGCCGCAUCAAAAAGCUUUCCACCAAGGUGGGUUUUCAGGUAGGGGGAUUUGAAACCUAUGAGCGGUCGCAUAUACAAAACCCACAAGCCUUGACUUGGAGAAUGCAUGGAGGUUGUUCUCAAACUAUCAUUAGCUAGAUUCUGGGCCUGCUUGGAUACCACCAAAUUAGUUACUUUUUAACUUAUUUUAAGUUAUUUAGGUACUAUUUUCACUUUACUUUGUUGGUAAACAUCAUUAUAAAAGUAACUUAAUGCUAAAAGCUACUUAUUUCGAUAAGGUUUUUUCUAUAGCCUUCUAACAUAUAACUUUUCUACAUUCCUCUCAUAGGGGGCGUUUGGAUCGUUAAGUUACUUAAGAUAAGCUACUCAUGCCUCAAGUAUCUUAUCUUGGUAUCUACUUAUUAAGCUGGAGUGAUUAAGUAAAAAGUUACUUAUAAUUGAUCUUAAACCAAACUUUUCUCAAAUAAGUUACUUAUCUACUGCUGUAAGUAGAAAAACUAACUUAUAUGGUGGUAUCCGAAUGGGCCCUUAGUCAUUGUCCAUGUCAAAGGAGGCUCUGUCUCAUGGUCUUUAUCAAUGGAGGCCCUAGAUGAUGGCUAGUCCACAUCAGGUCGGCCCUAACGAUGAGUGGUCCACAUCCAAGCCGGGCCCCGCAUGAUGGACGGCCCACAUCAGAGGUUGGGCCCACAUGAUGGGCAGUGUAUAUUGAAGGUGAACCACACAUGAUAGCCAAUGUCAUUGUUGGUGGGCCUCACAUGAUGGAUGACCAACAUCAAAGGUGGGCCCUACAUAAUGGACGGUGCAAAUUAAAAAGGUCGGCUCCUAAUGAUGAAUAGCUCACAUCUAUGGUGGGCCCUACAUGAUGGACCAUCAAAGGUGGGGCCCACACAAUGAACAGUCCAUAUCAAAGGUUGGCCACACAUGAUAGACUGUGAAUGUGAGGGCGGACCAAAUAAACUUGAGGGAUGUUGGAAACAAAAUAUGCUUUUCUACUUUUUAGCUGACAAGUAGGCUGUUUACCAAACAAGCAAUAAGUUUAUUCAGAGGUAAUACAGAGCCUGUUUCUUUCAGUAAAUUGUGUACUUCCAUUCUAUUUAAAUCCAUCUUUUCAGUUGAGAAUAUUUUUUAGAAAAGGGAUCCAAGUGCUCUACUGGCAAAAAUCUCCUUCUCACAUUACAUCCUAUGGAAGACUAAUGAGGAUGCCUUUUGCUUCUCAUGGGAUCGAAUCAAGUUGCAGCAACCGUCGGCUUGUUGCAGUAGAAUUGAUGUUCUGUGAUCCAAGUUCUCAACAUGCAAAAAAUUCUCCUUCGUUGUCGUCAUCGUACAUUCCAUCCUAUGGAAGACAAUGAUGCAGUAGAAUCACAUUCCAUCCUAUGGACGACAAUGAUGCAGUAAAAUCGAUGAUCCGUUGCAUCCCAUGAGCUCCCCUCCGAUUUCAAAGCCAGCCUAACAUGAACAGAGCCUGGCAUGCCACCAUUACUGCUUGAGAAGAUGCCGCUUUCUUGGAUGAAAUCACAGCCGUAGAUGAUGAAUGUUGUUUCUGUCUGUUGGUCUAUGCUAUCUUUCCCAGAGCAAGUUUUUUAGCUGCUUGUCAGUCACAUAGAGUUUAUCAAUUGCCAAAUUAACUACUGAAAGGAGCUCUCUUUUACAUGAUUUCUCAUUCAAGUCUGGUUUACAAGCGGCAAUCUAUUCUGGACUGUUCAAAUAGUGGGGCCCACUGUAGAUGGAUUAUCACUCAGAAUUUAUGCUGAGAGUAUGAUUGUAAUCGCUAUCAUUUAUGGACAUCUAAUAGACUGAAGAGACAAAAAGUAGCUAAUGGUCUGUUAAUCAGAUAUGUCUGGAUUGUCUGAUAAAACUCAUCUUAUUGGUGGACUGAUCUCUAUUAAAGCCCUAUUCCAUCCACAAGUAAUAUUUCGGUUUUCAAUUUGGACAAGUGGGACCCACCCCCCCAGGUUUAGUGAUCCAGACCAUUGAUAUGAAGCAACCUGCAGUGUAAGGAAACUUUACCAAACUGAAAGAUCCUGUCCAUCAAUCAUGGGCCUUUUUUCAAUGUUGAAUGCGGAGUGGCUGUGUUUCAGAUAUUAGCUGUCCAUUUGCAGGUGCUAUCAA